rnacentral:misc_RNA from 1 species
UCAACUAUCAAGCCUGGCUUGUCGUUGGACCUUUUUGCCACUGAAAUAUGUGACAGGUCCGAAAGAUAAUGACGGCGUCAUGUUUGACCCUAAAUGCAACGAGCUUUUUAUAGCAAGCACGCAUUGAAGUGGUUGGCUGACCCAGUCUUUAACCAUCAUUUUUCUAA